CAGUCGUGUCCAACUUUUCGAGACCCCAUGGACUGCAGCCCACCAGGCCCCUCCGUCCAUGGGAUUUUCCAGGCAAGAGUAUUGGAGUGGGGUGUUGCAGGUACUAGUGAACCUAAAGGUUUGGAUCUCAGGUGCAAUUCCAGGAACCAGAGUAGCAAGGAGGGUGACAGUUCUAAGUGAAUGUAUUUGGUGCUACUGCUGCUGCUGCUAAGUCGCUUCAGUCACGUCCAACUCCGUGCGACCCCAUGGACUGCAGCCCACCAGGCUCCUCCGUCCAUGGGAUUUUCCAGGCAAGAGGACUGGAGUGGGUUGUCACUGCCUUCUCCGAAUGCAUUUGGUAGCAGUCCUUAAAUCUUACUCUGGCUUUUCUCUUAUAUUUCUUGUAAAGUGGGUCUUUGUAAGUUGAGAGAGGAUCACCUUCAUCCAGCCGUGCUGAGUGAAAUUAUAAAUGUCACGAUGUGUGCAUAAAAAGGGCAAGAACCAAGUGCUAGGUGCAAUCUCCAUGUGAGUAAAGGGUAGAGGAGGAGUGGUUUUCUUUAAUAAAGUUUUGUUGAAGCUGAGCUUACCAACUGUUGGGUUCAGAGCCUGCAUGUGAAUCAAAUUCCCCAGCUAGGCCUGAAUCCUGAUUAGAAUGAAGCUAACUGGCUUAGUCCUCACAGCUUUUUAAAAUAGACACCAAGAGGUCACAGCCACCUUUUUGGUAUAGAAUGACAUAAUUGUGUUUUCAUUUACCUAUGAAGGUCAUAAGAAUAUUUAAUUUCUAGAUUCAGAAAACAGAUUCCAAAUAUCAUAGGGAAAAUUUUCAUCUGAAUUCCUCUUUUCCCAUAACACAAAAUAUUUUCUUUUGAGCCAUGCUUGGGUUGCAGAUUUUCACAUGAAAGGGUAUGGUGGGGAAUAGUUUAUUAAUGACAAUAAAUGGGUAAGGGUGCCACAGCUUAAUACCUUUAUUAUUAGUAAAACUUGGUUUUGUAGCUGCUAUUGUUUUCCCCACUUUAUAGAUGAGAAAACUGAGACUCAGAGAGUUUAAACUGCCCAAGAGCAAACAAGUAGUGUAGCCCUGGAUCCUUGGUGGAACUGCCUUCAGUCAGCUCUGUUUGCCUCUAGCCUGUGUCUCCCACCACAAAGUCUCCCAGGGCCUGGUUUAACCACCCGCCCCAGGAGAGCCGGCCUGCCUCCCCUCACACAGGUGUGGGUAGGAAUUGAGAAGGCCAAUCAGGUCUGCCGAGGACUCUACAGGUGGCAAUUGUAAAACAGAGAGAAUAAAAGGAAGCCACGCAUUGGGCGGCACCCGCUCAUGGACAGACGUCACCUCGGAGGCGAGGCGAAUGGUACUCCUGGUGCUGAGAUAGGUGAGAAUGCUCCUUCUGGGGACAAGGACUCAGCAGCAACUCCCGGGCUGACUCCCAUCCUGGCAUCAGCUCCUACAGAGGAUGGAAGCCACUGGGCAGUGAGAGGUCCCCUUGGCCUCUACAAGUUGGAUUAGAUGGCUCUGAACUUGCUUCCAACUUCUCCAGAAUCUAAUGGCUUCUAGGGGAAGCUGUGUUGCAGUGUGGCUCUAGCCCAGCCUCACUCCACCCUGGCAAUCGUUUCACAAGAGCUUUUUGGAGUUAACACCCUCAAUCAAAAGUGUGGCUGCACGUGGGAGAAUUCCCCAGGCCUGAUGCAACAGAAGUUGGAAAGACUUUUAACACACUUUAAUUAUACGUGGAGAAGCCAUCAGCCUCGUCUAACCUCACCUCCUGGGACAACCUGGCUCUCUAUAUAGGUUCUUUGCAAAGCUUCUUUUUUUAGAUUGGUGUUUAAAGGUUUUCACUCCAAGCGUGGAAUUGGAUCUAUAUAUUUUAAGUUUAAAAGCAUUU